CUUAGAAAGGUUUAAAUAGGCAUGAAUUGAAAAUGAAGUAUAGUCAUCACUGACAGUGAGAGAUCAGAAGCAGGUCUAGAAUAAUUUUAAAGGCACAUUAAAGGUAGUAACUUGAAAUGCAAUAAAUUCUUGCCUCUGGUUUAUAUUCAGGCCCUGCAGUCAUAUAUGAGAGACAAGUAUUUAGUAGUUAAAGGAUUAACUUCCAACCCUUCCUACUAGAAUAUUGGCAAAAUCUGUAUAGAGUUGUCACUAAGUGAAACGUAUUGAUUUUUGCCUCUUUUCUGGCUGGAACCAUGGAGAGUGUUAAAGAGAAAAAGAAGGUUCCUGCUGUGCCAGAAACCUUUAAGAAAUAGCAAAGGGAUUUCAUAGAGCUGAAGAUCAAGCACCUGAGAAAGAAGUUUGCCCAAAAGAUGCUUUGAAAGGCAAGGAGGAAGCUUAUCUUUGAAAAAGUGAAGCAUUAUCACAAGGAAUAUAGGCAGAUGUACAGAACUUAAAUUCAAAUGGCUUGGAUGGCAAGAAAAGCUGGCGAUUUCUAUGCACUUACAGAAUCCAAAUUGGCAUUUGCCAUCAGGAUCAGAGGUAUCAAUGGUGUGAGCCCAAAGGUCCGAAAGGUGUUGCAACUUCUUCGCCUUCAUCAAAUCUUCAAUGGAACCUUUGUGAAGCUCGAAAGGCUUCAAUUAACAUGUUGAGGAUUGUAGAUCCAUAUAUUGCAUGGGGGUACCCAAAUCUGAAAUUAGUAAAUGAACUACUCUACCAGUGUGGUUAUGGCAAAAUCAAUAAUGAGAGAAUUGUGAAUUCCUUUGACAGAUAACACUUUGAUUGCUGGAUCUCUUGAUAAAUAUGGAAUCAUCUGCAUGGACGAUCUGAUUUAUGGGAUCUAUACUGUUGGAAAAUGCAUCAAAGAAGCAAAUACCUUCCUGUGUCCCUUCAAAUUAUCCUCUCCACAAGGUGAAAUGAAGAAAAAGACCACCCAUUUUGUAAAAGGUGAAGAUGCUGGCAACAGGGAGGACCAGAUCAACAGGCGUGUUUAGAAAGAACUGAGGUGUCUUCCGUAAUUAUUUUUCUAAUCUGGUCAGUUAAUAAGCAGUACAUGCUCUCAGAUUUUUAAAAAAAUAUUGAUUUUUUUCUUUUCUUUUUAAAUGUAUUCCCCUAAUUCUUUGUCAUUCACUGACUCUCCUCUAUGUUCUGUGCUAAUCACCUUCCGUUACUGUUUGUGUCUGAGUGGUUACUUUGCAUUGUCAGGAAUAUCUCCACCUCCUUCCCACCCACAGAAGAUUAUCAGUAUUUCCAUUAGAACUUACUUUCAAUUGUAAUCAGCAUCAAUUGUAUUUUUGCAUCUCUCUUCCCAUUUAGGAUUGUCAGAAUUUGUGCAGUUGCUGAAACUUAGAGAGUUGGAAUUUAUUCACUUACCAGUAUUUAUUGAGCUCCUCAUAUGUGCCAGGUGCUGCAGUACAGAGUUCCUGCUCUCAUGGAGCUUUUAGAGUAGACAAACUCCGUAAAAUGCCUGUUACUCUUGUUCCUUUCUCCUGGGAUAACUGAGGUGCAUUUCUCCUUGCCCAGCCUCCUUGUUCUGCAAGUUAUCUGCCAUGUUAAUGAGGUGGGAGAAAGUUUCAUACUCUGUUUUGGCAUAGAGGUGAGAGCAAAGAGAUGCCCAUUGUCUCCUUCACUGCACAGAACUCAUUCAUUCCUUAAUUCUUGUUGCUGUGUUGCAAUGUUGCCUCUUUGGCUCCAGAGGCACGUGUGAAGGAUGAAGUCUUCUCAUUUUUGUCAUUUCUUGCACAUUUUGUGUGUGUGUGUGUGUGUGUGUGUGUGUGUCAGUGAGAUGCACUAGGAGACUAGACUUCUCUAAGAGUGUUUAUAUUAUAUUAUAAAAUGAAUGAUAUUGAAAUAUAUGGACUUGAUAUUGAAAUACAUGGACUUUGAAUACUAGAGAAUUUAUUUGUGAACCAGAUAAACUGGGGCUAUAACCCUGACUCUUCUGCUUGUUAGCUAUGUGUCUUUAGGCAGUAUUAUUCUACGUGGUUCUCAGACUAUUUUCUCCUCUAUAAAACAGUCCAAAAAUAGCUCUCACUUUGGAUGACUUCUAUAAGAAAAGAGACAACAACCGUAAAGUCCCUGGGGUAGUGCCUCAAAUUUAGCACUGAAAAAAUGAAAGCUUGUGUAUUACAUUAUGCAAUUGAACCUAUUAUUUGUGUUCUGAUGCUAUAAAAGUUUAUCAAUAUUUAUUGAUUAUAUGCCAUACAAUUUCUGGGCAUGAUUCAAAGAUUAAGAGAAAAUAUCCAGAUGGGAUUAUCUUUUGGGGCAGAGAAAUCCAGGGAGGAAAAGGAAAAAAAAAAUAGAAAGAAGAUAAGAGAGUAAGAAAGAUAGUUAGGGAUUUCUUUGGUUGUAAGACGUUAAAGUCCAAUCAAGAUAGUUUAAACCAAGGUGAGUUUAUUAAAAAAACUCUUAACUAUUAAAAAAGGAUUUAGGGUCAGAAAAUGUGAAUGUGCUUCAUGAAAAAAUGGAAAGUUGUCAGUAAUUAGUAAGUAUUUGUUCUCUCUUAUGGUCUUGUUCUGGUUUUUGCUUUUUCUUUUCACAUGGUCUCAUGUUUCUAAUUGCUUCUGAAUGUCUGUUAAUUUGCUUUCUUCUGUCUGAAGUCUGGUUCUUUCUGCUUCUUCAUCAGCAUGAUUACACCCAAAUUGCCACCCUAGUUCCUAACAUAUCAGUAUCGUUUUAGCUUUUGCUGAUUCCCAGUUCUGGGAUUCUUAGUUCAAGUUCUCAAGUGAGUGGAUCUGAUGGGACCAGCAAAAGGAGCAGAUGUCCACCUGUGAUCCAAUCAGCUCAUAGCCAAGGAGGAAGGAGGUCAUGUGAUACAAACAGCUGGGACUGUAGUGUGAAGAGACAGCUCUUAGAGAAGAGGGCAUGAGCUGGCUCAAAGUGUUCAAGAUGGGGACUUCUCUAAACAAGUGGCUUAAUGUGAAGAUGAUUUUGAAUGUUUGGAAAUUCCAUGCUGGAUGUGUGGAAUGAAAGUGUCACUAUGUUAGGAGUGAGCUGUUAGUAUUAUGAAGACAAAAUGGUAUGGGGACCAUCACCUUGGGAGCAACUGUGAGCCACAGGGGAAGAAUUCCAAACAAUGGCAAGAAGGGCCAUUUGCCAGCACCAACACCAGAAGCUGGAAAUCUGUAGCAGUUUUGAGCAGAAGGCCUCACUUUCAAAUACCAUUACCUUGGGGUUAGGAUUUCAACACAAGAAUUUUGGGAAGACAUGACCAGUCAGACUGAAAAACACAUUGUUUCUAAGUUAUGUGUAGAAAGUUCAGUUAUUGAUGUCUAGCAGCUAUUAGAAAAUAUGAGACUGAAUAUAGAAAAUUACAAUUUAAUGAUCUGCAUUGGGGAGGCAUCCACACAUAGGUUAUAGGUUGAAGAUAGA